rnacentral:lncRNA from 1 species
GUAGGCUGGCAGCUGUAACUCCAAUUAGACCCCUAGCCUGGAAACCUCCACAUGCCACGAGUGUGACCCUAAAAAGACAAAAGAUCAAAAAAAAAAAUACUACUUAAUAUAAAUGAUGGUGAUGAUGAUAAAUAGCAUUUAUCAGAGCUUUAUUAUAUGUAAAGUAUAUUUUAAUGAAUUAUUUCCUUUCAUCAACUCUCUGGGUUCUGUACUAUUAUUUUUACAAAUAACAUCUUCAUCUUUACAGAUGAAGAAACAAUCUUAGAUUAAGUAACUUGUCAAGAUCACUUAGCUUGUAAGGGUCAGAACAUAGAUCCCAGCCCAGCCCUACUUAACAUUAGAACACACACUAUUAAUUGCUUUCUUGUAGUGAAACUCCAAGUAUUUUUGACAUUCUAAGCCAUGAGCCAGGCUUGUAUUGACUCUUGAUUAUUUAAAAAUUUGAAGAAUAGUCAUUUCUUAUAUUAGGUUAUUGGUCUAAUUAACGUAUUACGGUGGAUUUAUUCUUGUUUGUGUGUGUUAAAUAUGAAGCACAGCAUAUACGUGGGAAGUGUUCAUCACUGCCUCUCUCUGGAGGAUGUGGACACUUAUUCCGUGCUACUGACCAAAGGAAAAUACAAAAUUUUCCCUUCCCCUCACAAAGCUCUGAAAUUUCUGGAAUAAUUUGGAUAUAAUAAGACCAUGCAGACGUAGCAUCAUCUUUUUGUAUUUAAAAUGAACCUGUCUAACUAGGAUAAAAUAAACAGAAGUUUGGGUUUGUUGGGGGGGGGACUCUUAUCCCUUAUUUUCCCUAGGGUCCUCUUUAUAAAGUAUCGAUAUAGUAAGAAAUCAAUUUUUCUUUUUACUUGCUCUUACUUCCCAAGAGAGCAUGGGCAUCUGUGUCACUUUUCAAUGGGCUAUUUAUUCAGUCUUACUUAUUCUUAACUAUAUGUUAUGUACCCUCAAAAGAUAAGUAGAGAUUAUACUUACUAAGUUUUAUGUACAUCCUAUGCACCCUCUCCUCAACACACACACAUAAAAAAUAGCAUUCAAGUGGGUGGUUGUUUUUAAUUUGUACCUCCUAUAAUCACCUUAUUUAUAAAAUGAUUAAAGGUUCUUUACAUAACUAGAAAAAAUGUUUCUGUAAACAAAUGGUACAAGUCUCACCACCAUUUUUUUCACCCCACCUGUGGCCCCAACUAUUCUGUCCAUGUUGCUGAUAGGUUGGCCUUUAGAAGCACUCCUUCUAGAGUUCCUUUGUGACUCUGAAGGUUAAGUAUCCAACAUUGUCACUGCAGUGGCUUGGGUUGCUGUUGUAGCACAGGUUUGAUCCAUGGCCUGGGAACUUCCACAUAUCAUAUGCAUGGCAAAAAAAAAAUGCAUUCAUUCUAAUCUAAUAGAUCAUCCACUUAUCAUGGCCUUAUGGGUACUGACAGCAAGCAGAACUAUGAUGUAGGCAAAAUUUGUCCUGAGCACCAUGGCUCCUCUGAUAUCCUACUGCUCCAGGCAUUCUCACUGUCACACUUUAGGUUUUUCUCCAUAUCAAAAUAUGCCUGUUGGCUUCCCAUGUCCUCAGGGUCUUGCACUCUGUAGCUCUUGCUAGUUGUAGCUAAUCUCUUCUUUUAAGUUGCUGGUUAAUUGAAUGCUUCCUUUUCAGAGAACAGUGAAACAAUCCACCUAAUAUUUAAGGGCUUUGAAAGAAGUAAAAGACCACUGAGGUUAAUAUCUUUGAUUGGUCAUGACUUGGGUUCUCCUCUGUGAAUAGGACUUUUGAUGACCUCAUCUAGAUUGUAUUCUGCAUCCAUUGAGUAAAUAAUGAUAAUAAUUAUAUACAGAACUCAACUGGCAAAGUUUUCAUUAAAAUCUUUCAAUGGAACUUCUCCUUUAAUUCUCCCCAGUAUUAAGAAGGUAUCCUUAGUAUCACCAUCAUAGAGGAAACUGGGAAUCAUCGAGAUUAAGACAAUUAAAACAGCCAAGGAAUAAAGCCUGGAUUGAUGUGAAAAAUAAAUGUCUAAAGAGUGAAAUGGAUGUCUGACAAAGAAAAUAAAGCAAUUGGAACAGAGAAGCUUUUGCUAAAGUAAUUUCCUUUGCCCAGAAUUCUCUUCUCUCCCAUGCCAUUCCCUUGUAUCCACCUGCACAGUUUGCAGCUCUCAUGACCUGAUUUCUGACUCUUACUCUCCCUCCCACAAUUAUGUUCCUACUAGGGAUCUAUCCUUAUUGAUUUUAGACCACUCACCACCUGUAUCCAGAAGGAUUAUUAGGCAUCCUUAAGCAACAGAACUUGGGUUCCUUGAAAGGCAGAAAUAAGCCUCCUCAUUUUUAUUCCCCCUUCACAGCACUUUAUAGAUAGCUUGUGCUCUUUAAGACUUGGAAUGAGUGAAAGAAAUCAUACCAAAAUAGAUUUUUUAAAAACAAAGACAUAAUGAAAUUUCCUAAGCCAGAAUGCCAGGGUUAAAGAGGGUCAGGUAUCAUAUGACCAUUAGUGGCAGUUAUGAUUAGCAAAAGGCAUUUUAGCAAAGAAAAUGCUUUUAUGAUAUAUAGGACUGAAAGUCUUUUUCUUGGCUGUGUCAUUAUUGAUAAAAUGUUAUCACUCUUUACAGAAACAAUCAAUUCCAUUUCUAUUGUGGCCCAGUGGGCUGCUGCAGUUCUUAUGCUGACCUCUCACUCUUAAGGUUCUACUUUGCAUCAGAACCUCUUCAGAUAAACUUGCAAAGUGUCUGAUAAUUAGAUCAGGAGGCUGGUUUCAAGCAUUCUAUUUUUAAUCUCUAUUGCUUCCUUUAUUGUGUCACCUUGGACAAAACACUUAGUCUGGGUUUACAUGUAAGUUUUUUUCACUUAAAAACCAUGUCUCAUGAUAAAUUUUCAUCCAGACAGUAGAAAGCAAUUUUCCUAAGUGCUUUACUUAAUUGGUUUCCAUCCACAUAUGAACUUCCAAUGCUGUACUUACAUAUCCCAUCAUGCAAUACUUCAUCCAUAAUUCUCUACCUCUCAGGAAGGUGCAUGUCUCUGGUAAUUUGUUUGUGGUUGCCAAGUUCAUUCACUGAUGCUUGCUUGUUAUUCCCCAUGCUCCAUCCUUGUUAGGCAGAUAGCAGAGCAUUGCUUCUUAGAAAUAUGGGUUGGCACUAAAAAAGUAACUCUAGAAGUGCUGUAAAUGCUUGGUUGCCUAAAAUUCAGACCCAAGUCUGAAGUUCUGAUCAGUGGAAUGCUCCUUAAGGUGGAAAAUGAGAUCAUUAUCUGAAGAAAAAUAUUCAGGCCUCCAGGGUCAUAGACUAGAGAGAGAAUCCUGAUCGGGAGAUAACCUCGCCUUUAUUGUUAGGUGGUAUGUUGAGUGUGAACCAUUUUCUGUGGAAGGGCAGCAGCCCGGGGGAAAGAAAUAUGAAACCAGUUGUGUGCUGUUUCUGUGGCUUAUGUAUAAAUUGAGUGCCCACUUGGCUGAGUAUGUCUAUCGAGGAGGAAGAAUGCAAAUCUCUGUCUGGGGCUUCAUUUGCUCCAGUUAGCAUAGUCAAGUGAAGGAAGUUUAUUGGCAAGAGCAGUGAAUAGUGAGGGUUUCUUGAGUCCUGGGGAAGAGGGAGAGACAUUUGUGUUGUCAGAGACAGCUCAUUUCAUUCAUGUGGUCAGUAAAUGUAUAAAUUCAAACAAAGCAAAUAAAAAUGUACUUUCUUUUGUUUAUUAGGUUAAGAUUACAUGGAAAGGGAUGUUCUCAGGACUUGUCAGCAAAAAUCCAAUUUGUGUCUAUAUCUAGAAAGAAGACUAAUAACAUUCUUUAAAUAUGGAAAAAAAAAGAGUAGAGCCCAACUUUAUGCUAUUGUGUUUUAGUUUUCUUUAAAAAGACACAUGAAAUCCUGAUUAGAUUUAUAAGACUAAGAAAUAUACUAGUACACACAUACUGUUCUGUGCUCUUAUAUUUUUGAAUGAAUUUCAGGUAUCACGUUUUGUGAAAAUGUUAAAUAUGUAUCUUCAGCUCAUGAGUUUUAUUUGUUUAGGUCAACUAAUAAUAUCAUAGAGUAUGCUCUGGUUCUGAGUUCAUCCUGCAGCCUUUACUGGAGCCAAGUGGGAUCUUUUGUCCCAGUCCAUGUGGUGGUCCCUUUGAUAACACCUGGUUAACUCCUUAAUGUCCUCAUUUUUGAAAGGUGAUAUUGGAAAGAACUCAUUGGCACCUGUCAAAUGUUUGACCUCAGAGGCUGAUUAAUGACUCUAUUUUGGUGACAAAUGGAGUUAUUUACUUUCUAUAUGUAUUUAAUCCUGUUCUUCCACUUGAUGGAUAGGAAAGUAUAUUUAUUUAAGAACUAAAGAAACUCUGGUGACUUUUACUGAGUUGGAUAAGAUAAGCAUCUUGUGCAUGAUUCAUAAAAAGAAGUGAAUCUGAUAACUAACACCAUGAGUAAGAGGUGAACUUAAGGACUAUUGCUACUUAGAAAAGUAUUGAAACAUACAUUAAAUAAAGAAGUAAAACAGGGGAUUAAGAUGGUGGAAUAGAAGGACUGGAGUUCAACUUCUCUCCUAAAAACAACAAAAUUACAAACAAAUGCUGAGCAAUCUUCAAUCAAAUGGACUGGAAACUUUCAAAAAGAUAUCCUAAUCCAGAAGACAAAGAGGAGGCCACAUCAAGAGGUAGGAGGGGUGAUUACACGAUAUAAGCAACUCCAUACCUCCCAGAUGGGAAGCCCCACAGACUGGAACAUAACUGGUUCACAGAGACUCACCUACAGGAGUGAGAGUUCUGAGCCCCACAUCAGGACCCCAUGCCUGGGAAUCUGGCACUGGGAGAAAGAGCCCCUGGAGCAUCUGGCAUUGAAGGCCAGUGCGACUUGUGUGCAGGAGUUGCACGGGACUCGGGGAAAUGGAGACCCCAUUCUUAAAAGGUGCACACAGACUUUCACAUGCACUGGGUCCCAGGGCAAAGCAGUCUCCAUAGGAAUCUGGGUCAGAUUUUACUGCAGUUCUUGGAGGACCUCCUGGGAAAACAGGGGGUAACUGUGGCUUGUUGUCAGGGAAAGGCAUUGGAAGCAAAGCUCUUGGGAAUAUUCAGCAGCUACCUUUCUCUGGAGGUGGCCAUUUUGGGAAAAUCUGGCCCCACCCAUCAGCACUGAGAAGCCCCAGGGCAAACAACAAUCUAGGUGGGAUCACAGCCUGCCCAUCAGUAAAAAGGUUGCCUAAAGACCCCACCCAAGACACACAGCCACCUCUAAUCUCACCCAGAGACAAAACCCCACCCACCAGAGGGAUAGGAAUCAGCUCCACCUACCAGUGGGCAGGCAUCAGUCCCUCCCAUCAGGAAGCCUACAGUAAGCCCCUGUACCAAUUUCAGCCACAAGGAGGGCAGACACCAGAAGUAAAAGAGACUACAACUCUAU